UUUUUUUUACAGAACUAUGGAUAACAACUGCCAUAAGAAGUCAGCAGAGGUCAUAGUAGGUACUACUUGGUACUGAAGGAC
rnacentral:ncRNA from 1 species